rnacentral:rRNA from 1 species
GACGAACGCUGGCGGCGUGCUUAACACAUGCAAGUCGAACGGAAAGGCCCUGCUUUUGUGGGGUGCUCGAGUGGCGAACGGGUGAGUAACACGUGAGUAACCUGCCCUUGACUUUGGGAUAACUUCAGGAAACUGGGGCUAAUACCAGAUAGGAGCUCCUGCUGCAUGGUGGGGGUUGGAAAGUUUCGGCGGUUGAGGAUGGACUCGCGGCUUAUCAGCUUGUUGGUGGGGUAGUGGCUUACCAAGGCUUUGACGGGUAGCCGGCCUGAGAGGGUGACCGGCCACAUUGGGACUGAGAUACGGCCCAGACUCCUACGGGAGGCAGCAGUGGGGAAUAUUGCACAAUGGGCGGAAGCCUGAUGCAGCAACGCCGCGUGCGGGAUGACGGCCUUCGGGUUGUAAACCGCUUUCGCCUGUGACGAAGCGUGAGUGACGGUAAUGGGUAAAGAAGCACCGGCUAACUACGUG